rnacentral:rRNA from 1 species
UACGUAGGGUGCAAGCGUUAAUCGGAAUUACUGGGCGUAAAGCGCGUGUAGGCGGCUUGGUAAGUCCGCUCUGAAAAGCCCCGGGGCUCAACCCCGGGGAGGCGGGUGGAUACUGUCAAGCUCGAGUCCGGAAGAGGCGAGUGGAACUCCUGGUGUAGCGGUGGAAUGCGCAGAUAUCAGGAAGAACACCAACGGCGAAGGCAGCUCGCUGGGGACGGAAACUGACGCUAAGGGCGCGAAAGCGUGGGGAGCCGAACAGG